GUUAGUUGUUUUCUGAAGUGGAAAGUUACAUCAAAUUUCGAUAUUUCUUUAUCUCGUCGAGAGAUAACCUCUUGUUUAUGUAGAGAGAUUUUUACAGUUUGGAUGUGAGAUAAGUGUGCAUUUAUUCGACCGAUAUAAUUUCGGAGGUCAUUCCACAGUUGAAAGUGAACUAAGUGGCCCGGUUUUCAAGAUGCAGGAACAAGUGACAGAUUCUCAAACUUUACGGGAUAUAGCCACCCGCAUAAGGAUCCACAGCGUGGAAUCGACAUCUGCGGCUAACUCUGGCCAUCCAACAACAUCUUCCUCCAUCGCCGAAAUCCUCUCCGUCCUCUUCUUCAACACCAUGAGGUA